rnacentral:rRNA from 1 species
CCUACGGGUGGCAGCAGUGGGGAAUAUUGCACAAUGGGGGAAACCCUGAUGCAGCGACGCCGCGUGAGUGAAGAAGUAAUUCGUUAUGUAAAGCUCUAUCAGCAGGGAAGAAAAUGACUGUACCUGAGUAAGAAGCCCCGGCUAACUACGUGCCAGCAGCCGCGGUAAUACGUAGGGGGCAAGCGUUAUCCGGAUUUACUGGGUGUAAAGGGAGCGUAGACGGCAGUGAAAGUCUGGAGUGAAAGGCGGGGGCUCAACCCCCGGACUGCUCUGGAAACUGUACGGCUGGAGUGCAGGUGAGGUAAGUGGAAUGCCUGGUGUAGCGGUGAAAUGCGUAGAUAUUAGGAGGAACACCAGUGGCGAAGGCAGCCUACUAAACUGCCACUGACAUUGAUGCUCGAAAGUGUGGGUAUCAAACAGGAUUAGAUACCCUUGUAGUC